rnacentral:lncRNA from 1 species
AAUACUAGAAUGGGAUCCCCGCACCAACAUUGGGCCGUUCACAUAUGGAAUUAUUUUUGAAAAAACUAAAAUAUUUUCACCAAGUCGAAUUGCCGAUGGCUCCACCUUAACACUAUUUAUCUUACCCACCGAAGUCAUUGCUUUUUUGUGAAGCAAUGAAUUUGAGUUGCUUCUUAAAGGCUCAAAACGAUAAACUCUUCUCAUAUAAUCAAUUUUAAACAUAUGCCCUGCCACUAGGGGUGGAGCAAAAUACCGAAAAAUCGGUAUACCGCAC